rnacentral:rRNA from 1 species
CGUAGGAGGCGAGCGUUAUCCGGAUUCACUGGGCGUAAAGCGCGUGCAGGCGGUUCGAUAAGUUGGAUAUGAAAUCUCCUGGCUUAACUAGGAGGGGGUUAUUCAAUACUACCGGACUAGAGAGUGGUAGAGGAAGAUGGAAUUCCAGGUGUAGUGGUGAAAUGCGUAGAUAUCUGGAGGAACACCAGUGGCGAAAGCGAUCUUCUGGACCAUUUCUGACGCUCAGACGCGAAAGCUAGGGUAGUAAACGGGAUUAGAGACCCCGGUAAUCCUAGCCGUAAACGAUGUAAACUUGGUAGUCGGUGGCUUUAACUCCUUCGGUACCGAAGCUAACGCGAUAAGUUUACCGCCUGGGGACUACGAUCGCAAGAUUA